rnacentral:tRNA from 1 species
GGGAAUGUGGCUUAGUGGUAGAGUGCUUGUUUAGCAUGCAUGAAGCCUUGGGUUCAAGUCCUCAGUACCA